GAAGGGCCGCCCUGCGCCCAUUCGCCCGCUGGUUUCGAGGCCCGGGUUGGCUGGGCGGGCAGCAGAAAGAGGCGCGCGGAUUGGUCGGGGGGAGGGAGAUUGGGGUGGGGCAGGCGAGAGCCGGCCGCUGAUUGGAUUGGCCUGGUAAAGGCCUUGAGCGCAGACCGGCUGAGCGCUGGGAGGAGGGUGGACCAAAGGCGAGACUCAGGGCCCGCGUGAUUGGCUGGGACACCAGACGUUGAUAGGAUAGGGCGCCCGGGAGAACUGGGGAGAGGAGUUCGGGGUCGCGGCCGCGGAAAGGCGGGAGGCGCCCUGCCGCUUCAGGAACCUAGCGCGGGGCACGAUGGGACGCCCCCGGGAAGGGGCGGAGCCGUGUUCGGGCUGCGGUUGGGAAAGCGCCGUCACUUCAAGGGGCGUGUUGAGGAGGGUUUCGCGGGCCCUAGCGGGGGAGGGGGGACCGUUAAAGCCUUGCACCGCGCCCACAGGAAGCUGCUCUCAUGGCCAGGCCUACUUCGUACCAGGCUCUCAGCUGGGAAGGACCUUGAAGACCAUGCGGUGCAACUUCCAGUUUGCAGGUGUGGAAACUGAAGCCCAGAGAGGCUCUAUGCCCAGCAUGAGGCUUGACCUCACACUUGGAAAGUCGAGCAUCUCCAGCUCUAUCCAAUGAGCCAGCCAGACACGCCUUAAGCCCAAUGCUGGAAUCAGAAAUUCAAUGGUGAAAGCUACAGCCACUGGAUGCCACCAAGAGAACUACAGGGGCAACCAGACCUUUUUCCAAGUAGCACUUACAACCCAGUCGACUCUCCUUCCCCUGACUCUGCCCUCAAUCCCAUUUGCCAUCACAAGUACUGGUGGAACCACCCAUCUUCUAGUUUGAUUUCCGAGGGAAAACAGUUGCUUGGCCUCAUGUGUUAGUAACACCAGGGUCUCCUAUUGCUUAUGCUUGUGUUUGAAAACAAACACCUUGACCAGUCUGUGUCAACUGGCGGUGGUACAAGAAGGCACAGUCCAUCUUGGGUUUUUUGUACUAUCAUAAGAGAAGAUAGUGUUAUAAAAAAUU